GACGUAGGGCGCAAGCGUUGUCCGGAUUUACUGGGCGUAAAGGGCGUGCAGGCGGUUUGUUAAGUCUAGGGUGAAAGCUCCCGGCUCAACUGGGAGAGGUCCUUGGAUACUGGCAAACUUGAGGGAGGCAGAGGAGAGUGGAAUUCCCGGUGUAGUGGUGAUAUGCGUAGAUAUCGGGAGGAACACCAGUGGCGAAGGCGGCUCUCUGGGCCUUUCCUGACGCUGAGACGCGAAAGCGUGGGGAGCGAACCGG
rnacentral:rRNA from 1 species